rnacentral:rRNA from 1 species
AACGAACGCUGGCGGCAUGCCUAACACAUGCAAGUCGAACGAGACCUUCGGGUCUAGUGGCGCACGGGUGCGUAACGCGUGGGAACCUGACCUUAGGUUCGGAAUAACUCCCCGAAAGGGGUGCUAAUACCGGAUAAUGUCUUCGGACCAAAGAUUUAUCGCCUUUGGAUGGGCCCUCGUUGGAUUAGCUAGUUGGUAGGGUAAAAGCCUACCAAGGCGACGAUCCAUAGCUGGUCUGAGAGGAUGAUCAGCCACACUGGGACUGAGACGCGGCCCAGACUCCUACGGGAGGCAGCAGUGGGGAAUAUUGGACCGUGGGCGAAAGCCUGAUCCAGCAAUGCCGCGUGAGUGAUGAAGGCCUUAGGGUUGUAAAGCUCUUUUACCCGGGAUGAUAAUGACAGUACCGGGAGAAUAAGCCCCGGCUAACUCCGUG